rnacentral:rRNA from 1 species
UACGGGGGGGGCAAGCGUUGUUCGGAAUUACUGGGCUUAAAGGGCUCGUAGGUGGCCAACUAAGUCAGACGUGAAAUCCCUCGGCUUAACCGGGGAACUGCGUCUGAUACUGGAUGGCUUGAGUUUGGGAGAGGGACGCGGAAUUCCAGGUGUAGCGGUGAAAUGCGUAGAUAUCUGGAGGAACACCGGUGGCGAAGGCGGCGUCCUGGACCAACACUGACACUGAGGAGCGAAAGCCAGGGGAGCAAACGGG